UGGCGACCGGCGCACGGGUGCGUAACGCGUAUGCAACCUACCUGUAACAGGGGGAUAAACACUGAGAAAUCGGUACUAAUACCGCAUAACACUAUGAGAGGCAUCUCUUGUGGUUGAAAGUUUCGGCGGUUACAGAUGGGCAUGCGUUGUAUUAGCUGGUUGGUAAGGUAACGGCUUACCAAGGCGACGAUACAUAGGGGGACUGAGAGGUUAACCCCCCACAUUGGUACUGAGACACGGACCAAACUCCUACGGAAGGCAGCAG
rnacentral:rRNA from 1 species